ensembl:lncRNA
CGAUAACCAACCAGGCUCCUUAUCAGCAGCUGGGCGUAUGUGUGGUUCCAGGGGACACUGACAUUUAGAGUGACUCAAGUGUGAGUGUAAGAAUCACCAUUCUACUGACUGUGUAUAAUUGUUACCUGGGUUCUAGAGGCCAAACAGUCGGAGAAUGGCAUUUAUAUCAACCUUUUUACGAAGCUCGUGUCUGUUUCCUCUCCUUCACAUGAACCUCACUGUUUUUGAGGAAGCCGGGGACUCACACCACCAUUCUCCGUGAGUUUCCUGGUCUGAAAAGAUUGCCAGACAGGAGCUAUUGAAAGUCCCCAUGUCCUGUGUGCAGAUUUUUAAUGGAAACCUCAAACCUGUUACACCACAGGCUGAAUGAAGGAGAGGAGGAGAGAGAAGAGAGGGAGCAUCGGGUCAUGAGUGAACACCUUGAGGGCAAUGGCAACGUGCCGUCAACAUUUGGACGCUGAGUCCCGAGGCCAGGU